GUGUGACCACCUUGGUUUCUUGCAGGAGACUGAAAUCUUCUCACCAUGCUCUGGGCUCCCCUCGUCGUCCUGUUGGGGACGUGGUGCACAGCCUCCAGCGCCCAGCCUGUCCUGACUCAGCUGCCAUCCAUAGCCGCAUCCCCGGGACAGACAGUGAAAAUCUCCUGUUCCAUGAGCAGUGGGGUCAUGGUGCAGAGCUAUCCCCAGACCUGGCAGCAACAGACACCGGGCAGCCCUCUGCGAUACCUGCUCUCUUACUAUAGCAGCAUGAGCAGGGGUUCUGGGGUCCCCGACCGAUUCUCAGGGUCCAAGGAGAGCUCCAGCAACGUUUGGUAUUUGACCAUCACCAAUGUCCAGGCAGAGGACGAGGCUGAUUAUUACUGUGCUGUGUGGUAUGGCAGUGGGGGAGUGUCUCACAGUGAUACACCCACAUGGGGAAGUGAGACAGAAAUAUCCCCUGAGCAAAUCACAUCCUCCCAGGCCAGGGUCUGAGCUGGCAGCUGCUCUGGCUGCAGAGGGUGGGGUCUGGCUGUGACAUCGUCUGUCAAUACCAGAGACUUGACUGUGUGACGCUCACUGUGUCCCUG